UACGAAGGGGGCUAGCGUUGCUCGGAAUCACUGGGCGUAAAGCGCACGUAGGCGGCUUUUUAAGUCAGGGGUGAAAUCCUGGAGCUCAACUCCAGAACUGCCUUUGAUACUGGCGACCUUGAGUCCGGGAGAGGUGAGUGGAACUGCGAGUGUAGAGGUGAAAUUCGUAGAUAUUCGCAAGAACACCGGUGGCGAAGGCGGCUCACUGGCCCGGUACUGACGCUGAGGUGCGAAAGCGUGGGGAGCAAACAGG
rnacentral:rRNA from 1 species